rnacentral:rRNA from 1 species
CCCCUAGAUGUUCUGGGCCGCACGCGCGCUACACUGAACAGUUCAACAAGUCUUAACCUUGGCCGAUAGGUCUGGGUAAUCUUUGAACGCCAGUCGUGAUGGGGAUAGAUUCUUGCAAUUAUUAAUCUUCAACGAGGAAUUCCUAGUAAACGCAAGUCAUCAGCUUGCAUUGAUUACGUCCCUGCCCUUUGUACACACCGCCCGUCGCACCUACCGAUUGAAUGGUCCGGUGAAACCUUUGGAUCGCGCUCUCAGCAAUGGGGGCGCGAGAAGCUGGUUAAACCUUACCAUUUAGAGGAAGGUGAAGUCGUAACA